rnacentral:tRNA from 3 species
GCGGGUGUAGUUCAAUGGUAGAAUUCCAGCCUUCCAAGCUGGUUGCGUGGGUCCGAUUCCCAUCACCCGCUCCA